rnacentral:rRNA from 1 species
UACAGAGGUCCCAAGCGUUGUUCGGAUUCACUGGGCGUAAAGGGUGCGUAGGCGGUCGGGUAAGUCUGACGUGAAAUCCCUCAGCUUAACUGGGGAACUGCGUCUGAUACUGGCGGGCUUGAGGACAGGAGAGGAACGCGGAAUUCCAGGUGUAGCGGUGAAAUGCGUAGAUAUCUGGAGGAACACCGGUGGCGAAGGCGGCGUUCUGGACUGUUUCUGACACUGAAAAACGAAAGCCAGGGGAGCAAACGGG